UCGGCACCUUCGGUGUCCGAGUUGUAAUUUGAAGAUUGUAACCUUGGGGUUGGCUCUUGUCUAUGUUUCUUGGAACAGGACGUCACAGAGGGUGAGAAUCCCGUGCGAUGAGAUGCCCAAUCCUAUGUAAGGUGCUUUCGAAGAGUCGAGUUGUUUGGGAAUGCAGCUCUAAGUGGGUGGUAAAUUCCAUCUAAAGCUAAAUAUUGGCGAGAGACCGAUAGCGAACAAGUACAGUGAUGGAAAGAUGAAAAGAACUUUGAAAAGAGAGUGAAAAAGUACGUGAAAUUGUUGAAAGGGAAGGGUUUGAGAUCAGACUCGAUAUUUUGUGAGCCUUGCCUUCGUGGCGGGGUGACCCGCAGCUUAUCGGGCCAGCAUCGGUUUGGGCGGUAGGAUAAUGGCGUAGGAAUGUGACUUUGCUUCGGUGAAGUGUUAUAGCCUGCGUUGAUGCUGCCUGCCUAGACCGAGGACUGCGAUUUUAUCAAGGAUGCUGGCAUAAUGAUCCCAAACCGCC
rnacentral:rRNA from 1 species